GAUGAACGCUGGCGGCGUGCCUAAUACAUGCAAGUCGAGCGAACAGACGAGGAGCUUGCUCCUCUGACGUUAGCGGCGGACGGGUGAGUAACACGUGGAUAACCCACCUAUAAGACUGGGAUAACUUCGGGAAACCGGAGCUAAUACCGGAUAACAUGUUGAACCGCAUGGUUUAACAGUGAAAGACGGUCUUGCUGUCACUUAUAGAUGGAUCCGCGCCGCAUUAGCUAGUUGGUAAGGUAACGGCUUACCAAGGCAACGAUGCGUAGCCGACCUGAGAGAGUGAUCGGCCACACUGGAACUGGGACACGGUCCAGACUCCUACGGGAGGCAGCAGUAGGGAAUCUUCCGCAAUGGGCGAAAGCCUGACGGAGCAACGCCGCGUGGGUGAAGAAGGUCUUCGGAUCGUAAAACUCUGUUAUUAGGGAAGAACAAAUGUGUAAGUAACUAUGCACGUCUUGACGGUACCUAAUCAGAAAGCCACGGCUAACUACGUG
rnacentral:rRNA from 1 species